rnacentral:misc_RNA from 1 species
GAUGAAAACGCAGCGAAAUGCGAUAAGUAAUGUGAAUUGCAGAAUUCAGUGAAUCAUCGAAUCUUUGAACGCACCUUGCGCCCUUUGGCUAUUCCGAAGGGCAUGCCUGUUUGAGUAUCAUGAACACCUCAACUCUCAUGGUUUGCCAUGAUGAGCUUGGACUUUGGGGGUCUUGCCGGCCUAUGGGUCGGCUCCUCUCAAAUUAAUCAGCUUGCCAGUGUUUGGUGGCAUCACAGGUGUGAUAACUAUCUACGCUUGUGGUUUUCCAUCAGGUAACCUUCAGUGAUGGAGGUUCGCUGGGGCUCAUAAAUGUCUCUCCUCAGUGAGGACAGCUUUUUUGAACGUUUGAUCUCAAAUCAGGUAGGACUACCCGCUGAACUUAAGCAUAUCAAUAAGCGGAGGA